UCUCUCUGCUGUGUGCUGCUUUGGCUAUAAGUCUGGUUGCCUUCCUCAUAUAUCGCAUCAAGAACAAAUCUUGUGAUUGUUGUAACGCUGCCGCCGCUCUGCAAACACAUGCUGAAACAGCCAGUGGUGGUCAGCAGAUAUAUGAGGACUAUUUGGUUUAUUCUGCACCAACCAAGAAGACAACUGGCAAAGCAGGGAAAAGGAAUGCAAAAACAAGGGAGGAAAAUUGUGUCUUCACCAAUGUCUUUUAUUUACUUCAAAAACAGGAAUGAAUCAUCAUGAAAGUAUUGACAUUUAAUAGUUAAACAUUUUGGGAUAAUCUUUAGCAUACCGUGUCUUUUAGACUUUAAAUUUUGCGGAUUUUUUUUUACUAAAUUCCUCAAAGAAGCUUGUGAUGACACCCAAACUGUCUUUUUAAACAUUCAUCUUAAAAUGAAUCAUGAGGACGAUUUCCUAUUUGCCUCCUUUAUCUGAUUUGCAUUUUUAAGGCUUGAACAAUCCCCCUUUACCCACAUAUAUUAUCAAUGCCAGGUCAAGGUAUUAUACUAAAAGAAAUUGAUGUUUGUUUAUAUGUUUUGCUUUUGUUUUACAUAAACAAAUGUACAUUAUGAAUUUUUAAAAGAAAGGCAUUUGAGAUUAUUGGCUUUUGUCAAGAACUGAAUCUUUUAACUUUUGAGAGCACUUUGCCUGAAAAUCUUCUGUGUACAAGAUACAGAAUACACGUGAUGACUGAUGCAAAACUGCCUCGUAUUCUUUCUCUGUGCACAUUAUGGGGUGGCAGCUGAGAAUAACAUGUUACCCUAAAACAAGAAGAACUGUGAGUAGCAGUGUAAAGGUCCUUCUCUGCCUAAAGAGAGGGGAUUUGCUGAGUGUGGUAAUCUGAUGUAACAUCAGAGUAUACACACUGUGUGUACUCUCUCCUCUUCUUAUUCCCUCUUUUUACUUUACUUGUGGAAAAAUCCAGCGCUGCAUAGUUCACUACCUUUGCUUCACCAUCCUGCGAAGAAAUAUCAUAAUGUUUGUGUGUUAUUAAAUUUUGGAGAUAGUAAACAAUAAAGUUAUUUCCUUGGGUGGUUUAUUUAAUUAGUGUCAUUAGCCUAAAUGUGAAAUGUGUUAUUGAUUAUUCAUUCUUCUGUCAUGAAAGCAGCAGAUGUGUUAUAUUAUUGGACACAACUGCAUUGAAAA